rnacentral:rRNA from 1 species
AAAACUUACCAGGUCAAGACAUGGGCGUGAUUGACAGGCUAAUGACUUUUCUCGAUUCCAUGGAUGGUGGUGCAUGGUCGCACUUAGUUGGUGCAGUGAUUUGUCAGGUUUAUUCCGGUAACGAACGAGACCUCGGCCUUGUAAAUAGCUAUGCUGCUUACAGGGACAUUGGCGGCUACGCCAAGGAAGCUCGAGGCAAUUGCAGAUCUGGAAUGCCCUUAGAUGUCCUGGGUCGCACGCGUGCUACAAUGACGCCACGAACGAGCUUGCGUGAUGAAAGUUACGCAUAAUCAGCAGUCGGCGUCUUAAGGGAUAGUCUCUUGUAACUGUGGGACUCCAACUAGGAAUGUCUCGUAAGCACAAGUCAACAUCUUGUGUUGAUUACGUCCCUGCUCUUUGUACACACCGCCCGUCGCUCCUACCGAUCGAGUGUUUAGGUGAAUUUGAUGGACGUAAGGAAGUCAAAUAAACCUGAGCACUAGAGAAGAGAAGUCUAAAUC